UACAGAGGUCCCAAGCGUUGUUCGGAUUCAUUGGGCGUAAAGGGUGCGUAGGCGGCAGGGUAAGUCUGGUGUGAAAUCCCGGGGCUCAACCCCGGAACUGCACUGGAUACUGCUUUGCUAGAGUACUGGAGAGGGAACUGGAAUUUACGGUGUAACAGUGAAAUGCGUAGAUAUCGUAAGGAAGACCAGUGGCGAAGGCGAGUUCCUGGACAGUUACUGACGCUGAGGCACGAAGGCCAGGGGAGCAAACGGGG
rnacentral:rRNA from 1 species